rnacentral:rRNA from 1 species
CAACUUUCAACAACGGAUCUCUUGGUUCUGGCAUCGAUGAAGAACGCAGCGAAAUGCGAUAAGUAAUGUGAAUUGCAGAAUUUUGUGAAUCAUCGAAUCUUUGAACGCACAUUGCACCUUUUGGUAUUCCGAAAGGUAUGCUUGUUCGAGCGUCGUUU